rnacentral:rRNA from 1 species
AGUGAACGCUGGCGGUAGGCCUAACACAUGCAAGUCGAACGGCAGCACAGUAAGAGCUUGCUCUUACGGGUGGCGAGUGGCGGACGGGUGAGUUAUACAUCGGAAUCUACUUUUUCGUGGGGGCUAACGUAGGGAAACUUACGCUAAUACCGCAUACGACCUACGGGUGAAAGCAGGGGAUCUUCGGACCUUGCGCGAUUGAAUGAGCCGAUGUCGGAUUAGCUAGUUGGCGGGGUAAAGGCCCACCAAGGCGACGAUCCGUAUCUGGUCUGAGAGGAUGAUCAGACACACUGUAACUGAGACACGGUCCAGACUCCUACGGGAGGAAGCAGUGGGGAAUAUUGGACAAUGGGCGCGAGCCUGAUCCAGCAAUACCGCGUGGGUGAAGAAGGCGUUCGGGUUGUAAAGCCCUUUUGUUGGGAGAGAAAAGCAGCAGGUUAAUACCCCGCUGUUCUGACGGUACCCAAAGAAUAAGCACCGGCUAACUUCGUG